GCUGGAUCUUUAACCCACUGGGUGAGGCCAGGGAGCAAACCUGGGUCCUCGUGGAUACUAGGCGGGUUCAUUAACCACUGAAGCAUGAUGGGAACUCCUAAAGGCAAUUUUCUCAUCUUCUAUUUUCUUCAACAGAAAGAUUCGAUAAAUUAUCUAUUGUUUUCAUCUUCAAUUUCCCAAUAUUCAACCUAAAAGACCGUUUAUGUCUAGACAUGGAGAACAGACUUGGGUUGCCAAGGGGGAGGGGGAAGGAAGUGGGAUGGAUGGGGGGGAGUUUGGGGUGAGUAGAUGCAAACAACUGCGUUUGGAGGGGAUCAACAACGAGGUCCUACUGGAUCGCACAGGGAACUAUACCCAACCUCUUGGGAUAGAAUAUGAUGGAAGAUAAUAGCAGAAAAAGAAUAUAUAUAAGGAUAGAUGAGAGAUGAGAGAUAGAUGAUAGAUAAACGACUAGGUCGCCAUGCUGUACAACAGAAAUUGACACAACACUGUCAGUUAACUAUACUCAAAGAAAACAUUAAAAAUAAAUAAACAGGAGUUUUCUCAGUGUUAAUGAUGAAAUGCUGGCCAAACUCCCAGGGGGGGAGACUAAUUGACAGUGGCAAUACCCUGAGAUCCUGGGUUUUGCUCUAUCACUGUCACUGGGUCACUUCUCAUAGAAGGUCCUGACUACUUCAGAAAUGCUCAGACAGUACAUUGCGUUAAGGAGUAGAGUGUAAGGAAAUACUUUUCCUGAUGCUUUUAAGCUAUUCACAAACUGCUACCAUACAUCUACCCAUGGAAAUGUAUUUCCUUGGAAGACUGUAUUUAUGUCUGGGCCCCCCAAAAACAGAUGAGAAGAUGACUCCCACCUCCCUAAUGCCUGCUGGGGAGAUUUUCUUCUCAGCUUGUCCUCAGGAUUUGGCAAAGGAAAAGAAAUAUUAAAUAUUAAUAUGCUGUCUGACGACUGCCCCUACUGAAGAAAACGGUUGUUCCAAACCACCCAUGAAACACAGGAACAGUUCUAUUAAAGAAGGAUGGUUACUUUAGUUUGGGCUAGAAGAGAAUUAGUCUAAGAAUUCCAUGGUUAUAGAUUCUGAUCAAAAGAUACAGGGAAAAUGUUAGUUUCAGAUGAUUACUAAGAAGAAGAUUUUCUUUAGGUGCUCUACAAAGAUAGCACGUACACAGUAAUCAUGAUUUAAUUGUGGAUUAGUACCAUUGGACAAUGUCUAACAUUUCCACUUGAGAAUUACACAACUACCACCAUCCACAUCUAAACAAAGGGGCGAAGAGGUAACUCUUCCACCUGGAUUCUUGGGAUGUUGUGUAUAAAAAGGAGAUAGAUGAAUGGGAAUGUUGGCAUGGCUGUAACGCUGCAGUACACAGGAAACGACGCCAGGGGGCCUCUUCCAUCUGUCUGGAAGAGGAAAGCCCAAGAGAUCACCCUUGUGCUGUGGGCUUCUUAGAUGCUCCUAGAAAGCUGCCAAAGGGAGUUCCUGUUGGGGCUCAGUGGAAAUGAGUCUGACUACUAUCCAUGAGGACACGGGUUUGAUCCCAUUGGCUGUGGCUGGGGGGGCUGGAGGCUCUCUCCCUGAUUCAACCUCUAAUCUGGGAACCUCCACAUUCUGCAGGUGUGGCCCUAAAAGUAAAAAAGCUGCAAAGAACCAACGUGCCCAGAGUGUUCCAUACACUUCCAAAGCAGAAGAGAAGAGAAUGAAUCUCUCCAUAUUGUUAAUUAGGAUCUCAAAGGAGUCUCGGUUUUGCAUUGCUACUCUGUGAUAUAUAUCAAACAUCAUUUGUCAUGAAAAUACAUGAAACUAGAUUUGAUAUGAAUAAAAGGGGAAAAGAGGUUUUGGGGGUUGGAGGGUUGGUUCUCUUUUGCUUUUAUUUUUGUUUUUGUUUUGGCCACACCAGCAACAUGUGUAAAUUCCUGGGCCAGGGAUAAAACCACUGCCACAGCAGUGACCUAUGGCACUGCAGUGACAGUGCCAGCUCCUUAAACCACUGCACCAUAAGAGCAUUCCAAAGAAGUAUUUCCUAUUAAGGUAAAUUUCUUUUAUUACCAGAGUAAUAUAACAUGCCUCCUUCAAAAUGCAAAUCUGGUAUAUGUUCAUCAUCAAAGGAAGAAGCAAAGAAUGUUCAGUAUUUAAAUGUGAAGGAAGGCCUAUGACAAUCACACUGUAAGCCACUGGCUAAUGAGUGUCAUUUUGCAGUAUCUUUAUAUUUCCUCCAGGUAACUAUUCCUUCUUUCUUUGAAAUAAAAAGGAUCCUAAAAGGUAGAGUAAAUCUCAAGAAAUAUCACUGGGAAAACUUGUAGAGUUGAACCUUACAUGCUAUAGAAAUGGAAGCUUCUCCUCAAAGUCAUGGAAUUCAGAAUUAAAUCCUGUAAUUAAGUGAGGAACUGGGGUUUUACUACUGCUUCAUGGUAAUUGAAUAUCUGCACUACAUGAGUUCAAUCUUCCUAAAUGGUGUGUUACUAUCCAAAUAUGCAUGUUAUAACCAAUUUUUAAAUUUUGCAAUAACUAUACCCCCUUGCUUGCUUCAAACCAUGUUACAAAUACAAUUCUUUGAGAGAGAGGAAUAUGAUUUUACAAGCCAGCAGCUCCUCCUCAUUAAAAAAAAUUAAGAGUCUCCAGGACCUGGGGAGAGGACAGCAGCCCACAGGCAGAGCCCCAGCCCUACGCCAUGGCGCCCAAGCCCCCCUCCCCAACCCUAAAACCCCGUUUUUUGGUCUCAACUCAGUGAUCUGCCACCGAGCUGACUGCAGCUUGGGGAGGCUGAAGUACAGCAGAGGCCACAAAGUGAUCCCCAGAGCUCAGGCUCCCAGCGGCCACAGCUCCCAGGCUCAGGCCACCAGUGCCCCCUGCCCCACCCAAACCCGGACCCCUCCUUUCCUGUCUCUGGUUCUCCACACCUGAACUUUGGGGGAGCUCCAGCCGACAAACGUUCUGACGACUUGCAGUGAACUCCGGCCC
rnacentral:lncRNA from 1 species